GUAGGGAAGAGGAAGAAAAGAGGGUCUGAGAACAGUGGUCAUGGGAACAUUGAGGAAAGCUAAACCUCUUCUUUGCCUCUGGAAAUAGGGGCUGAGAACUGUUUCCCAUGUUUUCCCAAUGCCUCCCAUGCCUAUUGUUCUCAGAUGUUCAUUCCCCUUCCUUUGACUU
rnacentral:pre_miRNA from 1 species